rnacentral:lncRNA from 1 species
GAAACAAAACCUGCUUAUGCAUAUGAUGCAUGCAAUGCUUGUGCAUAUGAUUUGUAUUUUUUUAUUUUUUUUAUUUAUUUUUUAUUUUUUUAUUUUGAUGAUAUGAAUGCAAAUGGGUGCAUGAAUGCAUGAAUGCAACAAUCACACUCAAGGAUCAAGCAAAGCACACCAAACAAAGGUCAUGGGAUGGAUCAUGUUAUCCUUAAUAUCAACCAUCCAUUUU